rnacentral:lncRNA from 1 species
GAUGAUGUAAGCACGACCAACAACACCAAAAAUGAUGAGCUAGCAUUGCCUCAAGGACCAAUUACAAGGCUGAGAUCCAAGAGGUUGAAGGAAGCACUUCAAGGAUUCAUGAAGGAAUAUGUUGAAGCUUUGCAAGUUCAUUUUGAAGUUGAAGAACAAUCUGGCCAUUCCAAGUCAAUUAGGCCAAAUGUGUCCUUACUGACAAUUCAAAUUCUGUAUUUAUAGUGGGUAGUCAUUUAGUAGUUGGUAGUUAAUCAGUAGUGGGUAGUUAUUUGGUAGUGGGUAGUUAAACAGUAGUGGGUGGUUACCUAGUAGUGGAUAGUGGCAUAGAUCAUGGGUCCAUGCAUAGUUGUGGGUAGUGGCAAAGAUCAUGGGUCUUAAUUUAGGCUAUAUAAAGCAUCCAUUUUUCUAUUGUAGACACAGAUUAUCAAUUAUUCAAUACAAUUGCUUUAUGCGAUUCUUCUUUGAGAGCUUAAGAGAGAUCUUGGUUCUUGACAUUGCAUCACGAAUAAGGUUUGAUAC